rnacentral:rRNA from 1 species
UACGAAGGGGGCUAGCGUUGCUCGGAAUUACUGGGCGUAAAGCGCACGUAGGCGGGUCGUUAAGUCGGGGGUGAAAUCCUGGAGCUCAACUCCAGAACUGCCUCCGAUACUGGCGACCUCGAGUCCGGGAGAGGUGAGUGGAACUGCGAGUGUAGAGGUGAAAUUCGUAGAUAUUCGCAAGAACACCAGUGGCGAAGGCGGCUCACUGGCCCGGUACUGACGCUGAGGUGCGAAAGCGUGGGGAGCAAACAGG